GCCUGCGGAAGAGCUCAGUCGGUAGAGCACAAGACUCUUCAUCUUGGGGCUGUGGGUUCGAGCCCCACACUGGGCA